UACGUAGGGCGCAAGCGUUAUCCGGAAUUAUUGGGCGUAAAGAGCUCGUAGGCGGUCUGUCGCGUCUGCUGUGAAAGACCGGGGCUCAACUCCGGUUCUGCAGUGGGUACGGGCAGACUAGAGUGAUGUAGGGGAGACUGGAAUUCCUGGUGUAGCGGUGAAAUGCGCAGAUAUCAGGAGGAACACCGAUGGCGAAGGCAGGUCUCUGGGCAUUAACUGACGCUGAGGAGCGAAAGCAUGGGGAGCGAACAGG
rnacentral:rRNA from 1 species